rnacentral:rRNA from 1 species
UACGGGGGGGGGCAAGCGUUGUUCGGAAUUACUGGGCGUAAAGAGCGCGCAGGCGGUCGAUCAAGUCGAGUGUGAAAGCCCCCGGCUCAACUGGGGAGGGUCAUUCGAUACUGAUCGACUCGAAGGCAGGAGAGGGUAGUGGAAUUCCCGGUGUAGUGGUGAAAUGCGUAGAUAUCGAGAGGAACACCGGUGGCGAAGGCGGCGCUCUGGGCCGGUACUGACGCUGAGACGCGAAAGCGUGGGGAGCAAACAGG